UACAGAGGUCCCGAGCGUUGUUCGGAUUCAUUGGGCGUAAAGGGCGCGUAGGCGGGCCGAAAAGUCAGGGGUGAAAUCCUCCAGCCCAACUGGAGAAGCGCCUUUGGUACUGUCGGCCUCGAGGGGUGCAGGGGCAUGCGGAACUCAGGGUGGAGCGGUGAAAUGCGUAGAUAUCCUGAGGAACACCGGUGGCGAAAGCGGCGUGCUGGACACCUUCUGACGCUGAGGCGCGAAAGCCAGGGGAGCGAACGGG
rnacentral:rRNA from 1 species